CGUCACGGUGUGGGGCUCUCGCUACGUGGUGGGGCAGACCCCGGUCUACGUGCCCUAUGAGAUCCGAGUCCAGGCUGAAAAUGACUUCGGGAAGGGCCCUGAGCCAGAGUCCGUCAUCGGUUACUCCGGAGAAGAUUUGCCCCCAGGCGUUUCCGCGUCCGGCAGCCCAACCUGGAGACAAUCAACCUGGAGUGGGAUCAUCCGGAGCAUCCAAAUGGGAUCAUGAUUGGAUACACUCUCAAAUACGUGGCCUUUAACGGGACCAAAGUAGGAAAGCAGAUAGUGGAAAACUUCUCUCCCAAUCAGACCAAGUUCACGGUGCAAAGAACGGACCCUGUGUCACGCUACCGCUUUACCCUUAGCGCCAGGACACAGGUGGGCUCUGGGGAAGCCGUCACAGAGGAGUCACCAGCACCCCCGAAUGAAG
rnacentral:sRNA from 1 species